rnacentral:rRNA from 1 species
CCUACGGGAGACAGCAGUGAGGAAUAUUGGUCAAUGGACGAGAGUCUGAACCAGCCAAGUAGCGUGAAGGAUGACUGCCCUAUGGGUUGUAAACUUCUUUUAUAUGGGAAUAAAAUGUUCCACGUGUGGGAUUUUGUAUGUACCAUAUGAAUAAGGAUCGGCUAACUCCGUGCCAGCAGCCGCGGUAAUACGGAGGAUCCGAGCGUUAUCCGGAUUUAUUGGGUUUAAAGGGUGCGUAGGCGGAUCGUUAAGUCAGUGGUCAAAUUGAGGGGCUCAACCCCUUCCCGCCAUUGAAACUGGCGCUCUUGAGUGGAAGAGAAGUAUGCGGAAUGCGUGGUGUAGCGGUGAAAUGCUUAGAUAUCACGAAGAACUCCGAUUGCGAAGGCAGUUCACUGGACUGCAACUGACACUGAGGCUCGAAAGUGUGGGUAUCAAACAGGAUUAGAUACCCGAGUAGUC